GUAGACUCUUGUCCAACCGGGCCAACAUCAGAUCUCGCGUUCUCUUGGCGAUGCUGCGUCAAUGAGGACCGUUUUCUCUUGUAGCGUGAAGUCUUGUUUCUUCCUAUCUGUUUCAGUUUUUAAUGGUCUGCUGAAAGGAUCAAAUAGGUUCACAAGAGAUAUGGUAAAGGUGCGAAAGCUUUGUGGAGUGCCUCUUUUUAGUGGCAUUGCAGAUGCGAGAGGCACUCGAGGUCAAUAAGGAAGGGAUGAUUCCGCUGCAUAGUCUGCCUGGACUGGACUUCAUGUUCUAAUUGGGCUUUUGUUUAGGGCUAUGACCCAUGUACUGCUUUACUCUUUAUUACUCUAUUAACUAUUGUUAGCUCCUUGGAUUUCAUUUGUAUCUGGCAGCAUGGAGUGCCUUGGCUCGCCUAGCAUUUUCUGGAUAUUGUAAGGAGUAGCGUUUAUACUCCAGGACUUGUCUCUAAAUUUCUAUUUG